UACGGAGGGGGCUAGCGUUGUUCGGAAUUACUGGGCGUAAAGCGCGCGCAGGCGGCUAUCCAAGUCAGUGGUGAAAGCCCGGAGCUCAACUCCGGAACUGCCAUUGAAACUGUUUAGCUUGAGGACGAGAGAGGUGAGUGGAAUUCCCAGUGUAGAGGUGAAAUUCGUAGAUAUUGGGAAGAACACCGGUGGCGAAGGCGGCCUGCUGGGCAGUAGCUGACGCUGAGGCGCGACAGCGUGGGGAGCAAACAGG
rnacentral:rRNA from 1 species